ensembl:lncRNA
GCAGACGCAGCACCCGCCGCCGGCCCUGCAGAGACCCUGGGAGAAGCUGCGCCUGGAGGAGCGCGAGGCGGAGAAGGAGGCGAGGAAAGUCAGCAAGAGCAUCGACCGGGCGCUCAAAGAGCAGAAGCGGGAGUACAAGCAGACGCACCGCCUGCUGCUACUGGGUGCAGCUCAUAUUUCUCUGAGCACAAGAUCAAUCUGAGAAAGCAACAGGAAAGAUUGACUGGCAGAGAGCUUAGGGAGCAACUGUUGUGGAAACCAGUCUUUUUGCAUUUAAGAACCCACAGUGGACAGCCCUAAUUGCUUAUUGG